GCUUGUCUCAAAGAUUAAGCCAUGCAUGUCUAAGUAUAAGCACCCUUAUACGUCGAAACUGCGUACAGCUCAUUAUAUCAGCAAUUAUUUAUUUGAAGGUCACUAAUUACAUGGAUAACCGUGGUAAUUCUAGAGCUAAUACAUGCGAAAAAUCCCGGCGCAAGUCGGGAUGUAUUUAUUAGAUACAAAACCAACCCGGGCAACCGGUCCUUUGGUGAUUCAUGAUAACUUUGCGAAUCGCAUAGCUUUAAUGCUGGCGAUGGGUCAUUCAAAUUUCUGCCCUAUCAACUUUCGACGGUAGGAUAGAGGCCUACUGUGGUGAUAACGGGUAACGAAGAAUAAGGGUUCGAUUUCGGAGAGGGAGCCUGAGAAACGGCUACCACAUCCAAGGAAGGCAGCAGG
rnacentral:rRNA from 1 species